rnacentral:lncRNA from 1 species
AUUAGUGAAAUAAAAUGUGAAAAAAUAAAAAUUAGAUAAAGAAAAAUAAAAGAGAAUUUUAGAAAUUAUUUUUGACAAAAAAUGAAAUUACUAUGAAUUUUAAAAGAAAAAGAAAUUAAAAAGAAAAAAAGAAAAAAAGAAAAAAAAUUAAAAUAAGAAAAAACACAGAGCGUUGGAUCACACCUCAUUAAUUGACGUGGCAAAUCCAACAUUCCUUAGGUUAGAGAGCACGAUGGAACACGCUGC